UACAGAGGGUGCAAGCGUUAAUCGGAAUUACUGGGCGUAAAGAGUGCGUAGACGGUCAUGUAAGUCGGGUGUGAAAGCCCCGGGCUCAACCUGGGAAUUGCAUUCGAGACUGCAUGGCUAGGAUGCGGAAGAGGGAAGCGGAAUUUCCGGUGUAGCGGUGAAAUGCGUAGAUAUCGGAAGGAACACCAGUGGCGAAAGCGGCUUCCUGGUCCAGCAUCGACGUUCAGGCGCGAAAGCGUGGGGAGCAAACAGG
rnacentral:rRNA from 1 species